rnacentral:rRNA from 2 species
CUGGCUGUGUGCCUAAUACAUGCAUGUCGAGCGGAGUUCUUCGGAACUUAGCGGCGAAUGGGUGAGUAACACGUACUUAACGUGCCCCCUUGAUUGGGAUAACGCUGAGAAAUUAGCGCUAAUACCGGAUACUUAAAUAUCUCGCAUGAGGUAUUUAUAAAAGGAGCCUUUAAAGCUUCACAAGGGGAUCGGGGUGCGUAACAUUAGCUAGUUGGUGAGGUAAUGGCUCACCAAGGCGAUGAUGUUUAGCGGGGUUGAGAGACUGAUCCGCCACACUGGGACUGAGAUACGGCCCAGACUCCUACGGGAGGCAGCAGUAGGGAAUUUUCCACAAUGGGCGAAAGCCUGAUGGAGCGACACAGCGUGCAGGAUGAAGGCCUUCGGGUUGUAAACUGCUGUUAUAAGGGAAGAAAAAGUCGAGGAGGAAAUGCCUUGACCUUGACGGUACCUUAUCAGAAAGCAACGGCUAACUAUGUGCCAGCAGCCGCGGUAAUACAUAGGUUGCAAGCGUUAUCCGGAAUUAUUGGGCGUAAAGCGUCUGUAGGUUGUUUGUUAAGUCUGGUGUGAAAACUUGGGGCUCAACCCCAAAUUGCAUUGGAUACUGGCAAACUAGAAUUGUGUAGAGGUUAGCGGAAUUCCUUGUGAAGCGGUGGAAUGCGUAGAUAUAAGGAAGAACAUCAACAUGGCGAAGGCAGCUAACUGGACACAUAUUGACACUGAGAGACGAAAGCGUGGGGAGCAAACAGGAUUAGAUACCCUGGUAGUCCACGCCGUAAACGAUGAUGAUUAGCUGAUGGGGAACUCAUCGGCGCAGCUAACGCAUUAAAUCAUCCGCCUGAGUAGUAUGCUCGCAAGAGUGAAACUUAAAGGAAUUGACGGGGAUCCGCACAAGCGGUGGAGCAUGUGGUUUAAUUUGAAGAUACGCGUAGAACCUUACCCACUCUUGACAUCUUCUGCAAAGCUAUAGAGAUAUAGUGGAGGUUAACAGAAUGACAGAUGGUGCAUGGUUGUCGUCAGCUCGUGUCGUGAGAUGUUCGGUUAAGUCCUGCAACGAGCGCAACCCUUGUCCUUAGUUAAAUGUUCUAGGGAGACUGCCCGGGUAACCGGGAGGAAGGUGGGGACGACGUCAAAUCAUCAUGCCUCUUACGAGUGGGGCAACACACGUGCUACAAUGGAUGGUACAAAGAGACGCAAUACGGCGACGUGGAGCAAAUCUCAAAAAACCAUUCUCAGUUCGGAUUGUAGUCUGCAACUCGACUACAUGAAGUCGGAAUCGCUAGUAAUCGUAGAUCAGCUACGCUACGGUGAAUACGUUCUCGGGUCUUGUACACACCGCCCGUCACACCAUGGGAGCUGGUAAUGCCCGAAGUCGGUUUUGUUAACUACGGAGACAACUGCCUAAGGCAGGACUGGUGACUGGGGUGAAGUCGUAACAAGGUAUCCCUACGAGAACGUGGGGAUGGAUUACCUCCUUUCUACGGAGUACACCUUUCAGUUUAGUGCUGAAAAAUACAACAAAAAUUAUUAAAUAUUAACGACAAAUAAUAGGUCAUGUCAUAUAUCUAGUUUUGAGAGAACUUUCUCUCUUUGUUCUUUGA